CAGAACACUCAUAUUCCGACUUAAGUUAAAUUCAAGGAAUUUAUAAGAGUGUAUGGAAAAUUUUGAAGUGAGCUUCACUUUUGAAGUUGAUGACAGACUUGAGAUGGAAUAUUCAAAUGAAAUAUUUGAAGAGGGCAUACUGGAAAGGCAAGACACACAAGGUUCUUCAAAUUUUGCUAUGCAGAAGUCCGAUAACGAGGUCAACCACUCCUCCAAGAAUGCAAGAAAUGAUGAGGAGGAGGAUAUGUGCUGAAAGGAAACCUCUAAAUCAUCUAACAAAAAGCAACAAAGGAGGACAAAGAGACAGAAGUCUAGCAAAAUAUAUGAAAAAGAUGUGACAAUGUUUGCUUCCAGAAAUAGCAGAAAACCAAUUGUUAAAAUCGAAGCUCCUGAUGACAAGGAAGAGCCAAAAACUGUUUCGCAGAAGAUAAAAGGAGAGACCAAACAUAAGAGAUGUAAACAGGAUUUGAAAAGAAAGGCUUUGCGAAAUAAAAAGAAGUUCUUAUAGAGAGCAAUCUACUCGAUAAUGAGCGAGACAACAAUAGUCACGCCGACAACAACUGUACCAGCACAGAUGACCGUAAUGAAGAAUGGAACGCCAAAACUAGAAGCAGAACAAAGAAGGAAAGGACAAAUUGCAUAAAGAGGAGGAAAAUAUCAUCUGAAGAC